rnacentral:lncRNA from 1 species
UGGAGAGUAGGGUGAUACUUUCCACCGCACUUGAAACACAGCCCCUUCGCCCUUCUCUCAUCCAUCUCGUCGUUGCGAAUGCUGCGAAUCCCUUUCCCUUUUUCAGGUCACGAAUCAUUCUCACCCUUUUUCCCAGUUGAAGCUAACGACGUCGUAGACAGCGUGUUAGAUCCAUUUGAUCCUGUUUUCUGAGUCGGAUUGGCCCAACUGGAACAACUUGUCUCUUUCAGAUUUGACCCGUUCCUGUUCCGAAAAGUUGGCCCGACCCAAUCACUACGGCCCCAUCGAUCCUGCCCUCCUUUUUUGCUACCGUAUAUGCCCGCGUCAUCAUCAUUUUCUCUCUCAACUCUUCCUCUACGUCUUUUGCAAUACGCAUCAUCUGCAUCCGAUUCAGAGGAUUGAAAGUCCGAACCCUACGACGAAUUUGUGGCUUCAAACCACUCAUAAAAUAACCCAGAUAUUGUUCCUCUGUGUAGGUGUUUAAUUGGCUGCAUUGUAUGGUAAAACACAAAUGUCUUGACUGAUGUCAUGACAUGUAUAUGUAACUACAUUGUAGUUACUGCAGGACUAGCUAACACAGGAUUAUUGAAUGCUGUAUUGAUGCUCCUGGCAGGGUCAGGAGUGAUUUCUAACCCCAACGCAUUUGUUACUUGAGGGGAGAUGAAAUUGUGGCUCGCACCACUAUCGAUCAACACUAACACAUCCACAUUUUCAAUUUUUCCCUGAAUUUUCAUGGUACGAUUUCCACUCAUACUUCCCAACACCCCCAUGGAUUGACAUUCUACCUCCUCCCCCUCUUCCUCAUCAGUUUGCACUUCUUCCAUAGAUACGAUUUCACCUUCAUCGUUAAGAGUUUCUCCUUCACCCAAAAUCAAUACGCGUAAGGAUCUCUCAGGACACUUAUGGAGAGUAGGGUGAUACUUUCCACCGCACUUGAAACAGAGCCCCUUCGCCCUUCUCUCAUCCAUCUCGUCGUUGCGAAUGCUGCAAAUCCCUUUCCCUUUUUCAGGUCGCGAAUCAUUCUCACCCUUUUUCCCAGUUGAAGCUAACGACGUCGUCGACAGCGUGUUAGAUCCACUUGAUCCUGUUUUCUGAGUCGGAUUGGCCCAACU